ACGCGCAACCUACCCGCACUACCGACUCGCCGAAACCCGGCCCGGCCCGGCCGGUUUUGGACUGGAACCAUUUACCAGCGGGGCCCGCGCCUCCUCCACGUCCCGAGCGCCCCAAACACGUCGAAACGUCCGCGUGGCGCCCCCCCACUGGCCGGCGCCCCAGGCCGGCGCCCGCCAUUGGGCGGCCGGGCGCCAGCGUGGCACCCGCGCGUCAGCCUCCGGGCCCCUAUUAAGCAGCGCCUCGGCGAAACCGAUAGGGGAGGGAAGGGGUUCCGAUCGGAUCGGGGUAAAGGCUUCCACGAGCUCUCGUCUCGACUGCCGCCGCCCGCCCGAGAUGGCGAUCCGCCGUGGGUCCUCCUGCGCCGUCCUCGCCCUGCUCGCGCUCGCCUCCGUCGCCGCCGUCAGCGCCGACGUCUUCUUCCAGGAGAAGUUCGAAGAUGGUUGGGAAAGCCGGUGGGUCAAGUCUGAGUGGAAGAAGGACGAGAACAUGGCUGGUGAAUGGAACCACACAUCUGGAAAAUGGCAUGGAGAUGCCGAGGACAAAGGUAUCCAAACCUCAGAGGACUACAGGUUCUACGCCAUCUCGGCGGAGUACCCUGAGUUCAGCAACAAGGACAAGACACUCGUGCUGCAGUUCACGGUGAAGCAUGAGCAGAAGCUUGACUGUGGUGGUGGUUACGUCAAGUUGCUUGGAGGUGAUGUUGACCAGAAGAAAUUCGGUGGUGACACACCCUACAGCAUUAUGUUUGGACCAGAUAUCUGUGGGUACAGCACCAAGAAGGUUCACACUAUCCUCACCAAGGAUGGAAAGAACCAUCUGAUCAAGAAGGACGUGCCUUGCGAGACUGAUCAGCUGUCGCAUGUGUACACUUUGAUCAUCCGCCCUGAUGCCACAUACAGCAUUCUCAUUGACAACGAAGAGAAGCAAACUGGAAGCAUCUACGAGCACUGGGAUAUUCUUCCUCCCAAGGAAAUCAAGGACCCAGAAGCUAAGAAGCCAGAGGACUGGGAUGACAAGGAGUACAUUCCCGAUCCUGAGGACGUCAAGCCAGAGGGCUACGAUGACAUUCCCAAGGAAGUCACCGAUCCUGAUGCUAAGAAGCCUGAGGAUUGGGAUGAUGAGGAAGAUGGUGAAUGGACUGCCCCAACCAUCCCCAACCCAGAGUACAAGGGCCCAUGGAAGCAAAAGAAAAUCAAGAACCCUAACUACCAGGGCAAAUGGAAGGCACCUAUGAUUGCCAACCCAGACUUCAAGGAUGAUCCUUACAUCUAUGCUUUCGACAGCCUGAAGUACAUUGGAAUUGAGCUGUGGCAGGUUAAGUCAGGAACUUUGUUUGACAACAUUCUCAUCACUGACGAUGCUGCUUUGGCUAAGACAUUUGCUGAAGAGACCUGGGCCAAGCAUAAGGAAGCUGAGAAGGCUGCUUUCGACGCUGCUGAAAAGAAGAAGGAAGAGGAGGUAAAUUCCCUGGCCGUAUUAAUGUUUGCCUAGUUAAUUGCUGCAUGGGUAUCAGCUUCAGUAUGAUUAGCUUUGUUAUGGUACCCUGUUUAUCAAUCUGUGUGUUAGUGUACUUGUCAUUUUUCGAUCUCUCCCUCUUUCAUGGCUGCUUUAUUUCAUAAUUUCCUGCCGGUCCUGCGGAAGCUAAAUUAAAUCUGAACAGAUGUAGGUCCUGUCACUACCUUAGUCGUAUAUGUCUAAUUGAUAUCAUCAAUUUCUGGUAUAUGUCUGUUGUGUAAUGCCUGUCAAUACCAGCACGUCUUCUCUUGGUUAAUGGAAUUCUUUCUCCUAAAUUGUUGUUAUUACUACUAUUAGACUUGUUGUACUGUUCGUUGUGAGUGAGCCUGUUAUUGAUUAUCAAUGUUACCUGUUUUUUCCCAGGAUGCUUCCAAGGCUGGUGAGGACGAUGAUGACUUG